rnacentral:lncRNA from 1 species
CUCUUUGGUCUCUUUUAGCAGUGUGGUUAAUUGACUUGAGACCGGGCAGCUUGGAGCAUAUCUACAAUAAGGGUUUUCACAUCCCUAAGACAUGCAAGAAAAAUCAGAUUGAACAAGAAUAAAACACAAAUAACACAGUCAAACGUCACAUAGCGUCCCCCCAAGCUAUUGUUCUUUUAUGUAAAGUCUUAGCCAGUCAGAAACAACCCAGAUCAAAAGACAAUCAAGUCGCUCCUAUUUAAAUUACCGGACAAAAGAAGACAAUAUGCCUGUCCUCCCAUUUCUUUCAAUAUCUUUUGCCAGGAUGUUAUAAUUUCAUUGUCAUUGGGAAAGAAAAUUAAGCUGAGAAUCUCAGCAAAAAUGCCUUAUUUAGAACAGAUGACAAGUAAAAAAUCAUGUAAAG